AUUGAACGCUGGCGGCAGGCCUAACACAUGCAAGUCGAGCGGAUGAAGGGAGCUUGCUCCUGGAUUCAGCGGCGGACGGGUGAGUAAUGCCUAGGAAUCUGCCUGGUAGUGGGGGACAACGUCCGGAAACGGGCGCUAAUACCGCAUACGUCCUGAGGGAGCAAGUGGGGGAUCUUCGGACCUCACGCUAUCAGAUGAGCCUAGGUCGGAUUAGCUAGUUGGUGGGGUAAAGGCCUACCAAGGCGACGAUCCGUAACUGGUCUGAGAGGAUGAUCAGUCACACUGGAACUGAGACACGGUCCAGACUCCUACGGGAGGCAGCAGUGGGGAAUAUUGGACAAUGGGCGAAAGCCUGAUCCAGCCAUGCCGCGUGUGUGAAGAAGGUCUUCGGAUUGUAAAGCACUUUAAGUUGGGAGGAAGGGCAGUAAGUUAAUACCUUGCUGUUUUGACGUUACCAACAGAAUAAGCACCGGCUAACUUCGUG
rnacentral:rRNA from 1 species